ACGAACGCUGGCGGCGUGGAUAAGACAUGCAAGUCGAACGAGAGAAUUGCUAGCUUGCUAAUAAUUCUCUAGUGGCGCACGGGUGAGUAACACGUGAGUAACCUGCCCCCGAGAGCGGGAUAGCCCUGGGAAACUGGGAUUAAUACCGCAUAGUAUCGAAAGAUUAAAGCAGCAAUGCGCUUGGGGAUGGGCUCGCGGCCUAUUAGUUAGUUGGUGAGGUAACGGCUCACCAAGGCGAUGACGGGUAGCCGGUCUGAGAGGAUGUCCGGCCACACUGGAACUGAGACACGGUCCAGACACCUACGGGUGGCAGCAGUCGAGAAUCAUUCACAAUGGGGGAAACCCUGAUGGUGCGACGCCGCGUGGGGGAAUGAAGGUCUUCGGAUUGUAAACCCCUGUCAUGUGGGAGCAAAUUAAAAAGAUAGUACCACAAGAGGAAGAGACGGCUAACUCUGUGCCAGCAGCCGCGGUAAUACAGAGGUCUCAAGCGUUGUUCGGAAUCACUGGGCGUAAAGCGUGCGUAGGCUGUUUCGUAAGUCGUGUGUGAAAGGCGCGGGCUCAACCCGCGGACGGCACAUGAUACUGCGAGACUAGAGUAAUGGAGGGGGAACCGGAAUUCUCGGUGUAGCAGUGAAAUGCGUAGAUAUCGAGAGGAACACUCGUGGCGAAGGCGGGUUCCUGGACAUUAACUGACGCUGAGGCACGAAGGCCAGGGGAGCGAAAGGGAUUAGAUACCCCUGUAGUCCUGGCAGUAAACGGUGCACGCUUGGUGUGCGGGGAAUCGACCCCCUGCGUGCCGGAGCUAACGCGUUAAGCGUGCCGCCUGGGGAGUACGGUCGCAAGAUUAAAACUCAAAGAAAUUGACGGGGACCCGCACAAGCGGUGGAGUAUGUGGCUUAAUUCGAUGCAACGCGAAGAACCUUACCUGGGCUUGACAUGUAGUGAACAACAUGUGAAAGCAUGCGACUCUUCGGAGGCGUUACACAGGUGCUGCAUGGCCGUCGUCAGCUCGUGUCGUGAGAUGUUUGGUUAAGUCCAGCAACGAGCGCAACCCCUGUUGCCAGUUACCAGCACGUGAAGGUGGGGACUCUGGCGAGACUGCCCAGAUCAACUGGGAGGAAGGUGGGGACGACGUCAGGUCAGUAUGGCCCUUAUGCCCAGGGCUGCACACGUACUACAAUGCCCAGUACAGAGGGGGCCGAAGCCGCGAGGCGGAGGAAAUCCUGAAAACUGGGCCCAGUUCGGACUGUAGGCUGCAACCCGCCUACACGAAGCCGGAAUCGCUAGUAAUGGCGCAUCAGCUACGGCGCCGUGAAUACGUUCCCGGGUCUUGUACACACCGCCCGUCACAUCAUGGAAGCCGGUCGCACCCGAAGUAUCUGAAGCCAACCGCAAGGAGGCAGGGUCCUAAGGUGAGACUGGUAACUGGGAUG
rnacentral:rRNA from 1 species